CCUACGGGAGGCAGCAGUGAGGAAUAUUGGACAAUGGAGGAAAGUCUGAUCCAGCCAUGCCGCGUGCAGGAAGACGGCCCUAUGGGUUGUAAACUGCUUUUAUACAGGAAGAAACAUCUCUACGUGUAGAGUCUUGACGGUACUGUAAGAAUAAGGAUCGGCUAACUCCGUGCCAGCAGCCGCGGUAAUACGGAGGAUCCAAGCGUUAUCCGGAAUCAUUGGGUUUAAAGGGUCCGUAGGCGGACUAUUAAGUCAGAGGUGAAAUCCUGCAGCUCAACUGUAGAAUUGCCUUUGAUACUGGUUGACUUGAGUUAUUGUGAAGUAGUUAGAAUGUGUAGUGUAGCGGUGAAAUGCAUAGAUAUUACACAGAAUACCGAUUGCGAAGGCAGAUCACUAACAAUGUACUGACGCUGAUGGACGAAAGCGUGGGUAGCGAACAGGAUUAGAUACCCUGGUAG
rnacentral:rRNA from 1 species